CAGCCAUGUUGGGCUCCGGUACGAGCACGGCGCUCGCCGCAGGAGCCGCCGGUCGCCUCGGCGGGAGGCAGCGCGGCCGGGCUCGGCUCGGAACGGCGCGGGGAUCCCGGUUCCCACCGGAGAACCGGAGCCCGGGCGGCCUCCGACCCUCUUCUCCCAUCGCACCGAGGGAUGCCGCGAUGCGCCGUUACCCUGCCAGCCCGGUAACUUCCCACCGUUACCGGUAACGCCACUAACUGCGGGUCCCGCACCUGCCCCGCAUCCCUCCGGUAGAACCGGCCGCAUCCCGGGACUGCCUUCGGAAAAAAAUUGGGGUGUUUAUAGGGGAAGGAGCCGCGGUUACCUCCUCCGAGCCCGGUGUUGCCGGUUCCCCCGCCGCUCGCCGCUCGGUCGAACCCACCUGGGGAGGGAAAGAGAGAGAAGAGGCGUCAGGAGGAGCCGCCGCCGCCAUCGCUCCAACUUGGAGCAACUUUCCCGCCGCCGUCACCCAAAGGUGUUGAGGCAACAAAGAGCGGGAGGGGAUUCGACGCUCCUAUUUUUGGCCUGUUCCCGUCUAGAAAUAUUCCCCCAAAGCCCCGAAAGCUUCGCAAAGAUUGAUCUCUCAAAAAAAAAAAUAAUAAUAAUAAAAAAAAACCCUAAACCAAACAACCAUCCCCUGCCCUGCAAAGUGUUUCCAGAGAUUUUUUUUUUUUUUUUUUUUUCUUUUUUUUUUUCCCCUCCUUCCCCGUUUGAUUCCAACGUUGUCGCCGGGAAUUAUUUGCAUUUAAAAUCCAACGACUCGUUCCCUCGCACAUCCCUUCGCAGCUCCGUUCAACCAGCACCGGAGAGGGGGGGGAACCGACCCCCGAGGUAAAGGCGUCCCUAAACCCCCGGCCAAAUCCACCCCAAUUCCCGCCCGGCUGGAAAUAUCGAUGUGGGCGAAAACUAAUGAUUUAAACAGAUUUUAAUGAUUUAUUAUUUUUUUUUUCUUUCCGCAGCCGCCGUCACCCAAAGGUGUUGAGGCAACAAAGAGCGGGAGGGGAUUCGACGCUCCUAUUUUUGGCCUGUUCCCGUCUAGAAAUAUUCCCCCAAAGCCCCGAAAGCUUCGCAAAGAUUGAUCUCUCAAAAAAAAAAAUAAUAAUAAUAAAAAAAAACCCUAAACCA
rnacentral:lncRNA from 1 species